CCUACGGGAGGCAGCAGUAGGGAAUAUUGGUCAAUGGGCGAAAGCCUGAACCAGCAACGCCGCGUGCGCGAUGAAGGCCUUCGGGUCGUAAAGCGCUUUUGGGAGGGAUGAAAAUGACAGUACCUCCCGAAUAAGGAUCGGCUAACUACGUGCCAGCAGCCGCGGUAAGACGUAGGAUCCAAGCGUUAUCCGGAAUUACUGGGCGUAAAGGGCGUGUAGGAGGUUGGGCAAGUCGGCCAUGAAAGCUCCCGGCUCAACUGGGAGAGGCUGGUCGAUACUGCCUGGCUAGAGGGCAAGAGAGGGAGGUGGAAUUCCCGGUGUAGUGGUGAAAUGCGUAGAUAUCGGGAGGAACACCAGUGGCGAAGGCGGCCUCCUGGCUUGUACCUGACUCUGAAACGCGAAAGCAUGGGUAGCAAACAGGAUUAGAAACCCUGGUAGUCCAUGCCAUAAACGAUGUCAACUGGGUGUCGGCGAAGUAAAUUGUCGGUGCCGAAGCUAACGCGUUAAGUUGACCGCCUGGAGACGACGAUCGCGAGAGUAAACUACGAAGAAGUAGACGCGUGAGAGUUGCGAGACGACGACGAGGAGAG
rnacentral:rRNA from 1 species